GCCAAGAAGCCAGCAAACAACCCCAGUGUGUCUGCUUGGAUGAGAAGGGGUGAAGACCUAGAAAGAAUGAGAUCUCCAGCAUUGCCGAGGCUGCUGAGAACCUGGACAUCCAAAUACAGAUGGGAGGACCACACGGAAUUGAAACAUAAAGGCAGACCUCAUCUGGAAAGUAUGAUAUCAAAAAGGAGGCAAUGCUCAUGCCCAUGGUUCAGAACUGCCUUCGCCAGUUAUAAUGACAAGUGAAGUUUCAAGAAAGAACCACCUGGAAUCUGACGCCCAGUGCUAAUGCUGAACUGAUUUGGCAGUUAUUCAAAUUCAAAGAGGCCACCCCAAAGGCACUCUUUCAGUUGGAGCAGAGCUAUUAGAAAUCACACCAUGAGCGCUUACUAUGAGUGGGACCAUAAGCUGAAGGCUACUGGCUUCUCCUAUUUAAUCCCUACAGCAACCUUGUGGCUCAGGUACUAUCAGGAUUCCUCUUUACAAAUAAGGAGACUGAGGAUU